rnacentral:rRNA from 1 species
UGUCCAGACUCCUACGGGAGGCAGCAGUGAGGAAUAUUGGUCAAUGGGCGGGAGCCUGAACCAGCCAAGCCGCGUGAGGGAAGAAGGUACAGCGUAUCGUAAACCUCUUUUGUCAGGGAACAAAGGCGGGGACUAGUCCCCGGAUGAGGGUACCUGAAGAAAAAGCAUCGGCUAACUACGUGCCAGCAGCCGCGGUAAUGCGUAGGGGGCAAGCGUUAUCCGGAUUUACUGGGCGUAAAGGGAGCGUAGACGGUGCAGCAAGUCUGGAGUGAAAGGCAGGGGCCCAACCCCUGGACUGCUCUGGAAACUGUUGUACUUGAGUGCAGGAGAGGUAAGUGGAAUUCCUAGUGUAGCGGUGAAAUGCGUAGAUAUUAGGAGGAACACCAGUGGCGAAGGCGGCUUACUGGACUGUAACUGACGUUGAGGCUCGAAAGCGUGGGGAGCAAACAGGAUUAGAUACCCUAGUA